GUUGAAAAACCUGUUUUCAUCCGACCGCCACAAUUAAGCAAUGGUGAGCCUGGGCAGUACUUAAAUGGUUGACGGUUUGGGAAUAUCAGAUGCUGUAAG